rnacentral:rRNA from 1 species
UACGGGGGGGGCAAGCGUUGUUCGGAAUUACUGGGCGUAAAGGGCUUGUAGGUGGCCAACUAAGUCAGACGUGAAAUCCCUCAGCUUAACUGGGGAACUGCUUCUGAUACUGGAUGGCUUGAGUUUGGGAGAGGGAUGCGGAAUUCCGGGUGUAGCGGUGGAAUGCGUAGAGAUCCGGAAGAACACCGGUGGCGAAGGCGGCCUGCUGGGCAGUAGCUGACGCUGAAGCGCGACAGCGUGGGGAGCAAACAGG